AUGAACGCUGGCGGCGUGCCUAAUACAUGCAAGUCGAGCGAACAGACGAGGAGCUUGCUCCUCUGACGUUAGCGGCGGACGGGUGAGUAACACGUGGAUAACCUACCUAUAAGACUGGGAUAACUUCGGGAAACCGGAGCUAAUACCGGAUAAUAUAUUGAACCGCAUGGUUCAAUAGUGAAAGACGGUUUUGCUGUCACUUAUAGAUGGAUCCGCGCCGCAUUAGCUAGUUGGUAAGGUAACGGCUUACCAAGGCAACGAUGCGUAGCCGACCUGAGAGGAGGAUCGGCCACAGUGGAAAGGCACCAGGGCCAAGACUACGCAGGGGGGCAGAAGGAGGGAAUCUGCGGAAAGGGGAAAAGGAGGGAGGGAGAAGCGCGGCGGGAUGGAGGAGGGUUUUGGGAGAGAAAAACUUGUUUAGAGGGGAAAAAAAAAUGUGAAAGAAAUAAUGCACGUCUGGAGGGAACAAAACAAAAAAGCCAGGGAAAACAAGGUG
rnacentral:rRNA from 1 species